GGUUGGAGGCGCAGCGGCCCCGCGAGCAGACGCGCAGUGUCUUUCAGAUUUCCAAGUCUCUUCUGGUGUGCUGAGGUAUAUUUCAAUGUCUUCUCUCCGCUGAGGAUGACAGGGAGGACUCACGUAGCCACAUUGGCAAUGUUCUUUCAGAAGCACUAUUUGGGAACCUUGGAGCCUCUGGAAGAUGAACACCAUACCAUCCACAAUGUCAGGAUGAAAGUAGCUUCACUUCCCUGGGGUUCACGCCGUGGACAGUGCAACCUUCAGAUGCAAGGCUGAGCAUGAUUCAUUUAAAUCCCACCUGGAACUAUUCAAACAGUUUCUGCUAUUUCUCUGGCACUGGGAAUUCACUGGAAUAGCAAAGGACAACCCAGACCCCUGAGAGGAGAAGGUGAUCAAGCAGCACCGGUGACAGCAUUCAGCUGAUAAAUGUGAGUAAAGCCCCAGUACAUGGGAGAGGCAGUCUUCCUCUGGGACUCAUCUUUUUACUAGGGAUUUCUGUACCCCAGAACAUGGGCAAGCACCCUGUUUCAAGCCCUACAGCUAACUUGGGAGAAACUGAAAGAUGGAGAGAGGGAAAGACACUGGGAAAAGCUACAGGCACUUUUCCCAGCCCUGGCACUGAGAGGAGAACAUCAUUUUAAAUCUGGGCUCAUGCAAAGUCAGACAGUGCUUGGUGACCUGGCAGCCACUGCCACAGCAGGCAUUUUAGUCUCAGGUCAGAAUUUAAAGUGCUUGCUCUGGAAUGGGGAAAGGGUUCCCACAGCCAGAAUGAAGUAUUGAGUGUGGAGAGUGCCCCAGCAGUUGGUGCUAGAAUUAGGCUCUCUCCCAUCACAGGGUUGGUAUUCCUGAGAGAGGAGAAGAGAAAGUAAGCAAACUGGAAAACAUAUUUGAGGAUAUAAUUUAGGAAAAUUUCCUUCAUCUUGCUGGAGAGGUCAACAUACAGAUAAAAAAAAAAAUCCAGAGAACUUCUACAAGAUGCUAUACAAGAUGACCAUUCCCAACACAAUAGUCAUCAGACUAUCCAAGGUCGACUUGAAUGAAAAAAUCCUAAAGGUAGCUAGGAAUACAUCUAACCAGUGAAGUGAAAGGGCUCUGUAAGGAGAAGUACAAAACACUGCUGAAAGAAAUCAUAGACAAUGCAAACAAAUGGAAAAGCAUUCCAUGCUCAUGGAUUGGAAGAAUCAAUAUCAUUAAAAUGUCCAUACUGCCUACAGAAAUCUACAGAUUCAAUGCUAUUCUUAUUAAAUUAUCAACAUCAUUUUCCACGGAAUUAGAAAAAACUAUUUUAACAUUCAUAUGGAACUGAAAAAAGAGCCUGAAUAGCCAAAGCAAUCUUAAGCAAAAAGAACAAAGCCAGAGGCAUCACAUUACCUGACUUCCAACUACACUACAAGCCUACAGUAACCAAAACAGCAUGGUACCAUUUCAAAAAUAGAUACAUAGACCAAUGGAACAGAAUAGCGACUACUGAAAUAAAGCCACACACCUGCAAUCAACUGAUCUUCAAUAAAGUCAACAAAAAUAAACAAUAGGGGAAAGACUCUAUUCAAUAAAUGGUGCUGGGAAAACUGGCUAGCCAUAUGCAGAAGAAUGAAGAUGGACUCCUAUCUCUGACGAUAUACAAAAAUUAACUCAAGAUGGAUUAAAGACUUAAAUGUAAGACCUCAAACUAUAAAAAUCCUGGAACAAAACUUGGGAAAUACUCUUCUAGACAUUGGCCUAGGCAAAAAAUUUAUGACCAAGUCCUCAAAAGCAGAUGUAACCAAAACAAAAAUUGACAAUUGGGACCUGAUUAGACUAGAGAGCUUCUAUGCAGCAAAAGAAAUGAUCAACAGAGUAAACAGACAACCUACAGAAUG
rnacentral:lncRNA from 1 species